UAAACCUUUCCCGACGGUCACGUAUGGAUGAAAGCUGGACCAAGCAUAGAUGCAAUUUUUGUGGGAAAAUCAUGGCGUCCAACCACGCGUUAACUGUGCACAUCCGGUCUCAUACCGGUGAGAGGCCGUACGCAUGCGCAACCUGUGGACGCACCUUCUCCGUAAAGUGUAGCUGCCAGCGCCAUUUGCUGAUGCACCAAACUUCUUGAAGAUCACGUUCAGAUUCACUAGCUGCUAUGGACGCUGAAGAGCAAGCUGUCAUUGAUACCGCACUAGCGGAAGAACCUCUGAAUGACGAUGGACGUUUCACAUGUGGAAUUUGUGACCGCUCAUAUUCAAGGAAAGACGCACUGAACCGACAUUUGAAAAUCCACAAUUCUUCGCAGCAUUCAUGUAAAAAAUGUUACACAUUCUUUCCAUCAGUAGUUGCACUCAUCGAACACCAACAUAAGUCACAUCAGAAAAAGAUUCUGUGUAGCUUCUGCGGUAAAGGAUUUGAGAGGACAAGUCAUCUAAAAGAACAUACCAUUGCUCUGCAUGGAGAACGUAAGCUUUCCUGUUCAUUUGCUGGCUGUUCCAAAACCUUUUACAGAGACGAAAUAUACCAAGAAAGUGUGCGAAAUUUGUUGUAAAUGCUUUUUAUAUCAGAAGCAGUAUUUUAUAUAAGUAACAAUAUCUGUUGUAUGAUGUUGUGUCAGUUAAAACUUUAAAAUAAUAUAAUUAUGUAAAUGGGCUUCUAAGUAUCAACUACGAAUUACACAUUUUUCAGGCAUAUGUCUUCUUACUUAUGAUAAAAUUAUACAUAUCAUAUUAUCAUUGAACUCUUGCUAUGUUCUUAUACAUAUAUUAUAUAGAAGAUGCUAACUUAUUCAUUGAACUAAGUAUGUUGCUCAAAUAUUUCAUUGUCUAUUUGUAUAAUAAUGAUCACGUUAUAUUUUACACUGUUGUUAAGGUGACUUAUAGGCCUAUUAGGCCGGGUGUUCUUGUAUGCCUUGUAUAUAUGUCUGUUAAUCUCCUGUACGUAAACACAUGUCACUAUAAUAAAAGAUUAUCUUAUCUUA